rnacentral:rRNA from 1 species
UACGGGGGGAGCAAGCGUUGUUCGGAUUUACUGGGCGUAAAGGGCGCGUAGGCGGCCACUGCAAGUCAGUUGUGAAAUCUCCGGGCUUAACCCGGAAAGGUCAACUGAUACUGCAGGGCUAGAGUGCAGAAGGGGCAACUGGAAUUCUCGGUGUAGCGGUGAAAUGCGUAGAUAUCAGGAAGAACACCAAUGGCGAAGGCAGCUCUCUGGGACGGUACUGACGCUGAGACGCGAAAGCGUGGGGAGCGAACAGG